rnacentral:rRNA from 1 species
GGCCGUUCUUAGUUCGUGGAGUGAUCUGUCUGCUUAAUUGCGUUUCAAAAUUUAACUUGAGGACCGGGUUUUGGUUUGGCUAGUGGUUCUACGAUGACUGUGAACUGUCAUGUCUUCGGAUGUGCGACUAUUGGUCUAGGAUCACAUGACUUGCCCCUGGGACUCUUUUGAACGCAACGGACGUGAUUGCAACCCCUUGUUGAGAUUAGAGAUAGUCUCGAUAUUCACUGGACAAACUGGCUGCUUUAUGCAGUCUUGUUGAAUGGUGGAUAAACUCGGGGGACUGCUGACUAUAACCAUUUCUCAAAACAGAGGAAGGUUGCGGCAAUAACAGGUCUGUGAUGCCCUCAGAUGUCCCGGGCUGCACACGUGCUACAAUGAGUGGCGCAAUGUGCUAAUGUUUAAGGGAUAAGAGUGUGGUCAGUAGAACGUCGGGAUUUCCCCUGACGUCUCCCCCGCACGAUUAUCAGCCUUCCCUUAACAGGGCGGGCAACCUUUUCAAAAUACUGGUUUGAUGUUAAAGUAUUGAGUCGUUUUUUUUGGAUGGUGGUUUGUUAACCAAUACCAUCCGGCAACUGCUCGCGAGUUUGUGGUUCUGGCGACUCAUGG